rnacentral:lncRNA from 1 species
AUGAUGAGUGACAAAUACUGGGGCGAGCCGGCUCUGCCAGGGAAACUUCAAAAUGAGCCGAGCAAACACCGGGAGCUUUCUUCAAUCUGUCUCUCUUGGCCUAUUUCACUCAAACACAGUUGGAAGAUUCACUGGAUUUUCCUUCACAGUUGUGACAUGCUUUUCAUUCCUACAAAGUUCACAAAGUGGCUCAUGCUUUGAUGCCAUGAAUUGACAAAAAGGCUUCGGUCCAUCCAAAUGCAGAACCUGCUGUUUGUAUCCAUUCAGUUACAAACCAAUGAAGUAAAAGCUGAUUGCAAAAUCCCAGUCACUGCAGAGGCAUUCGCGAGAUACUGACAUUGUGCAGCCAAAGCAAUGCUGAACCUGCUCUGUACUUUGAAAACCAGACUCUCCUAAAGUCAUUCCCAGCUGUCCUAACAGAAGUGGACCCAUUGCUGAAUGAAUACAAGGAUUACCUCCAUCUGCUCAUUGGCUUUCCAGGUGAUACAAAGUAAAUAUUCUGGAAAGAAAAACCAAAAAACAAAAACCCCAAAGUUGCUCUGUGUUAGCGAGUUUCAG